UGCCACUUUGGGUGAGGCCUCUGCUUUUCCGUAGGUCACUGCUUGGCAAGUGCCUAAAUGCGACUGCGGCAAUAAACUUAACAGCAGGGAAAUUUGUGAAGCCCAAGUUGGGAGUGCCGCCUUACCACAUACUAAGGUGAAUUUGGAAGCCAUGCAGAUUGAAAUGCUUUGCUGCGGUAACAGAAUCGGUUCACAUCAGACGUUGAGAUCAAAGAAAAU
rnacentral:lncRNA from 1 species